rnacentral:lncRNA from 1 species
GAGCCAACGCGUUGGCCCCGGCGCACUCUCCACACACGGACCGGACCAGGCCGCACCAACAGCAGACCAACUGCGCCAAAAACCACUUCGCGCAGCAGCAGAUCGCAUCGUCGCUCCGACCGUCCGCCGUCGCCGCCCCACCGGAUACCGCGCAGAUCCGGAGGCCCAGAUCCCCGAGUCCAUGGAGCCCUCGCCGGCCGCGGCGGAGCGCGAC